UUAGCUUCUGUGAAUUCACUUUCCUUUCUCGGAAGAGAGAGAAAAAAUGGGGGAAAAUCCACGCUAGGGAUACCCUCCAGAAACCCUAACCCUAGCUCUCCAUCUAGGGCUUGAAAUCUUUAUUAGCGGUGCUGAAAUCUCUCCUUCAAGAGGAUUUUCGUAUUCGAUUGGGUGCCUGGAUUUACGAGAAAUCCUUCCUCAUCCCAGAUCGUUUCAAAGCUCUCUGAUCGUUCGAUACAUCGGAUUUCGUCCCGGAGAAAUUCGAUCUGCAAGCUCGGUCGUAUCGGUUCGCUAAGCAAUCUGCCGAUGCUCGACGUCAUAUAGGAUUUGAUUUCUCAUCUAGUGGCCUUGUCGUCAUCGAGUUAUGGUAUUCGGAUCCUAAAAGGCUGUGAUUUUCUCAUUGGAGGCUUCAUCUUCGUCAGAUCGUGGCAGAUUCCUCCUUUUUGAAGGUUUUUGAUUGAAUCAGUUUGAGAAGCAGACAUUCAAAGCACUAAUCUUGUUUGAUCUCUUAUCAAUUUGGAGCGAUUGUGUACUGGAUGUUCGACGAAAUGGGAUUUGAGGCUUUUGAAUUGUGAUGCGUACCAGAUGUUCAAUGAAAUGCCAAAGGGAGACAUGCAUGGGAUGUGUACUGGAUGUUCAACGAAAUGGGACUUGAGGCUUUUGAAUUGUGAUGCGUACUAGAUGCUCAAUGAAAUGCCAAAGGGAGACAUGCAUGGGAUGUGUACUGGAUGUUCAACGAAAUGGGAUUUGAGGCUUUUGAAUUGUGCUGCGUACCCGAUGUUCAAUGAAAUGCCAAAGGGAGACAUUCAUGCCAAAUGUUUGAUAUGAUAACUCAUAGAAACUUUUGCAGUGAUAUGUGUGCUCAACAUGGCAAAGUAGGCAUUUUCAAUAACGAUGGGAAAAACUGAUGCAGGCUAAUGCAGGGGGUUCUGGCAUAGUUGAUGUAAGCUGAAGCAGGGGGUUCUAGCAUAGGAUGAAAAUUGGAUGGGAAGGCAUUGUCAUGGAGAGCUGGAGAAUCUACACCAGGCUAUGUCAUGGUCUUAAAUAUGCUUUGCUGCUGGGUCGAAGAUCCAAAUUCUGAGGCAUGCAAGUUGCACCUGCCAAGGAUUUUUGACUAUUUGUGGCUUGCAGAAGAUGACAUGAAAAUGCAGGGUUAUAAUGGCAGUCAAUUAUGGGACACUGCUUUCACUGUUCAGGCAAUAAUCUCAACUAGCUUUCUUGAGGAAUUUGGUCCAACUCUUAAGAAAGUGCAUGAGUACAUAAAGAAUUCGCAGGUUUUGGAAGACUGCACUGGUGAUCUUAGUUUCUGGUAUUGUCACGUUUCUAAAGGUGCAUGGCCUUUCUCAACUAGAGAUCAUGGAUGGUCCAUAUCAGAUUGCACUGCAGAAGGUUUAAAGGCUUCACUCUUGUUGUCGCAGAUUCCAUCAAAAACUGUUGGUGAACCAAUCGAUGCAAACAGAUUGUACGACGCGGUGAAUGUCAUUCUUUGACUACAUGAAUUCGGAUGCCAAGAAGACAUGAUGUUCUGUGGUGUGUUUGAUGGCCAUGGCCCUUGGGGACACUAUGUAGCAAAAAGGGUCAGAGAAUCACUGCCAUCAUCUCUGCUUUGCAAUUGGCAGGAGACUCUUGCUAUGAGCUCAAUUACAUCAGAAUUCCUUUUGGAAUCUAAUAAAAUGCUUAAUUGAUUUGACAUUUGGAAGGAAUCCUAUUUGAGAACUUAUUGAAAUGAGUGAUUCACUUGGGCAAAUGAAUCAUAACCUUGAAGGUUUGAAGAGUGAUCUGAAUGAAGUUACUAAGGGUAGGGAUUGCCUUGAUUCUGAGGUACUUGUCUUGAAAGAGCAGCUAGAAAUAACACAAGCUGUUGCUGAAGAAAAUGAAGCAAUUGCUACAGAAGCUCGACAGAUGGCUGAGGCAAGGAAGAACUAUGCCGAAGAGGAGGAGGAGGUGAAGCUGUUAGAGAAGUCUGUGGAAGAGCUAGAAUAUACCGUAAAUGUAUUGGAAAACAGGGGGGAGCUUGUCAAAGGGGAGGCUGAAAGGCAACGGUUGCAGAGAGAGGAGCUAAAAGGGGACCCUACUGAAACAGUUCAUGUGGAAGGCUAUGUGGUAGUUCAUGUGUAAUUGUAUUUUGUUUUGAAAACUUUAAAUAGACCAUUAAUUGUUUUGUUGA